AAGUCGUGCAAAUCGAUAUAUUUUGAAAAGAACAACUAGCAAAAAAAUUGUAGUAGAUUAAUUUGG
rnacentral:tRNA from 1 species